GCAGUGGUGGGUCAGUGGUAGAAUUCUCACCUUCUGUGAGGGAGACCUGGGUUUAAUUCCUGGCCAAUGUA
rnacentral:tRNA from 1 species